UAGGGAAUAUUGCGCAAUGGGCGAAAGCCUGACGCAGCAACGCCGCGUGAGUGAUGAAAUUCUUCGGAAUGUAAAACUCUGUCAGGAGGAAAGAAACUCUCGAUUUCUAUCGGGAUUGACGGUACCUCCAGAGGAAGCUCCGGCCAACUCCGUGCCAGCAGCCGCGGUAACACGGGGGGAGCAAGCGUUGUUCGGAAUUACUGGGCGUAAAGGGCGUGUAGGCGGAUGGAUAAGUCAGAUGUGAAAACCCAAAGCUCAACUCUGGGCCUGCAUUUGAUACUGUUCAUCUUGAGUAUGGGAGAGGAGAUCGGAAUUCCUGGUGUAGCGGUGAAAUGCGUAGAUAUCAGGAAGAACACCGGUGGCGAAGGCGGAUCUCUGGCCUAAUACUGACGCUGAGGCGCGAAAGCUGGGGGAGCAAACAGG
rnacentral:rRNA from 1 species